rnacentral:rRNA from 1 species
UGGGAAUAUUGCACAAUGGGGGAAACCCUGAUGCAGCGACGCCGCGUGAGCGAAGAAGGUUUUCGAAUCGUAAAGCUCUGUCCUAUGAGAAGAUAAUGACGGUAUCAUAGGAGGAAGCCCCGGCUAAAUACGUGCCAGCAGCCGCGGUAAUACGUAGGGGGCUAGCGUUAUCCGGAUUUACUGGGCGUAAAGGGUGCGUAGGUGGUCUUUCAAGUCGGUGGUUAAAGGCUACGGCUCAACCGUAGUUAGCCUCCGAAACUGGAAGACUUGAGUGCAGGAGAGGAAAGUGGAAUUCCCAGUGUAGCGGUGAAAUGCGUAGAUAUUGGGAGGAACACCAGUAGCGAAGGCGGCUGUCUGGACUGCAACUGACACUGAGGCACGAAAGCGUGGGUAGCAAACAGG